UGCAGACACCAUUUUGGAACUAAAAUGGCCUCUAACUAUCAGCGCUACACGAGAAGGCUUUUGCAGUCAUAAUAUCAUAUUGUAAAGUAAUCUUUUUUUUGUUACAGAGAAAUGAAUUCACUGCUGCUUGAUUCUACUUCUAUCCAUCAUGCAAUAAAUUCUGUCCCUUGACAAUUACCAAGCAUGACAGCAAGUUAGCUGAUCCUUUUCGCCAUACUUCAUGAUUAAUUAAUAUAUAAUGAGAUAAGUCAGACGCAGUGUGAAAGAUGAAUGUCAUCUGGUCAACAAUCUGCCAUUCAUUCUGAAAAAAAUAUAUUUUCAGCAUAGAGGGAGAUGAAGCAUUCAAGAUUUGGUGUCUUAAUCAAGCAGUGUUCCUCACAGAUGGAAGAUGUUAGCUGCAGAGGCCUACGUCCAUUAUUUUGAAAAGCGUUCUUUUAAAAAACAUCAAGACCCAAAGGGCCAAUUUUCUUGAAGUGCUGGCACAUGGAACAUUAAUCUACUGAAGACCAGGAUGGCCGAAAAUCAGCCAUAGAAAGGAUGAAAGGAAACCAAUUCCAAGACAGUGAGGUUAAAAGGCCCAUCUUCAUUCAGAGAAAAUGUGGCCCCCUCCUUUACAUCAAUGGAAAACCAGCCUUAUACUUGCUCCCUUAACAUCCCUACCUUUUGUGUCCAUCUUUUACCCUCACACCUUCCCCUCACUCCCUUUGAACACCUUCAACACACUCACUACCCUAUAGCUCAAACAACUACCUCUAAUCUAUUCACCAAUCAGAACUCACAAGCUCUAUAAUACUUUUUAAUUUGUUUUUAUAGAACUCAUAAAUCUGUGAAAUCUAAAAGAAAUGAAAAUAGUUUAAAAUUUAAUACAUUUAUCAGAACAAACACCAGAACAGGACAUUUUAAAAAAUCCUCUUUGAAAAGCUCAUAAACAAGUGAUAUUUUUACAGUCUCCAUUACACAGAUUUACAAGGGGCUGCCAGUGCACUCUUAACAAAAUAACCCACAAUGUUUAUUACCCACAAAAGGAAGAAAAUCAAACUGUUUGAAAUGGUCUUAUUACAAAUAUUAGAAAUGAAUAUUUAACUUUUUACUCUCAACAAGUACCUUAUAGUUACUCAAACCUUAAU